AGGUAAGCUACUAAGAGCGAAUGGUGGAUGCCUUGACUGGUAAAGGCGAUGAAGGACGUACUAGACUGCGAUAAGCUACGGGGAGCUGUCAAGAAGCUUUGAUCCGUAGAUUUCCGAAUGGGGCAACCCAAUGUAUAGAGAUAUACAUUACCUAUAUAGGAGCGAACGAGGGGAAUUGAAACAUCUUAGUACUCUCAGGAAAAGAAAUCAAUAGAGAUUGCGUCAGUAGCGGCGAGCGAAAGCGCAAGAGGGCAAACCCAGUGCUUGCACUGGGGGUUGUAGGACUGCAAUGUGCAAGAGGUAAGUUUAGCAGAACAUUCUGGAAAGUAUAACCAUAGAGGGUGAUAGUCCCGUAUGCGAAAAACAAACCUUAGCUAGCAGUAUCCUGAGUAGGGCGGGACACGAGGAAUCCUGUCUGAAUCCGGGUCGACCACGAUCCAACCCUAAAUACUAAUACCAGAUCGAUAGUGCACAAGUACCGUGAGGGAAAGGUGAAAAGAACUGAGGUGAUCAGAGUGAAAUAGAACCUGAAACCAUUUGCUUACAAUCAUUCAGAGCCCUAUGUAGCAAUACAGGGUGAUGGACUGCCUUUUGCAUAAUGAGCCUGCGAGUUGUGGUGUCUGGCAAGGUUAAGCAAACGCGAAGCCGUAGCGAAAGCGAGUCUGAAUAGGGCGCUUAGUCAGAUGCUGCAGACCCGAAACGAAGUGAUCUAUCCAUGAGCAAGUUGAAGCUAGUGUAAGAACUAGUGGAGGACUGAACCCAUAGGCGUUGAAAAGCCCCGGGAUGACUUGUGGAUAGGGGUGAAAGGCCAAUCAAACUUCGUGAUAGCUGGUUCUCUCCGAAAUAUAUUUAGGUAUAGCGUUGUGUCGUAAUAUAAGGGGGUAGAGCACUGAAUGGGCUAGGGCAUACACCAAUGUACCAAACCCUAUCAAACUCCGAAUACCUUAUAUGUAAUCACAGCAGUCAGGCGGCGAGUGAUAAAAUCCGUCGUCAAGAGGGAAACAACCCAGACUACCAGCUAAGGUCCCUAAAUCUUACUUAAGUGGAAAACGAUGUGAAGUUACUUAAACAACCAGGAGGUUGGCUUAGAAGCAGCCAUCCUUUAAAGAAAGCGUAAUAGCUCACUGGUCUAGUGAUUUUGCGCGGAAAAUAUAACGGGGCUAAAGUAAGUACCGAAGCUGUAGACUUAGUUUACUAAGUGGUAGGAGAGCGUUCUAUUUGCGUCGAAGGUAUACCGGUAAGGAGUGCUGGAGCGAAUAGAAGUGAGCAUGCAGGCAUGAGUAGCGAUAAUUAAUGUGAGAAUCAUUAACGCCGUAAACCCAAGGUUUCCUACGCGAUGCUCGUCAUCGUAGGGUUAGUCGGGUCCUAAGUCGAGUCCGAAAGGGGUAGACGAUGGCAAAUUGGUUAAUAUUCCAAUACCAACAUUAGUGUGCGAUGGAAGGACGCUUAGGGCUAAGGGGGCUAGCGGAUGGAAGUGCUAGUCUAAGGUCGUAGGAGGUUAUACAGGCAAAUCCGUAUAACAAUACUCCGAGAACUGAAAGGCUUUUUGAAGUCUUCGGAUGGAUAGAAGAACCCCUGAUGCCGUCGAGCCAAGAA
rnacentral:rRNA from 1 species